AAAAACCAAAGCAAAUAUUGCUUUAAGGCAGCGGCUACUCAGAGAAAAGGGCAAAUCCUUUUUAUAGAGUCAAAGAUAAGGAAGACUACAGUAGUACACACAGUUGCAGAGAAGACCGCCAUUGAAGCUCUUGAUAAAAACUCCAUAUAAGAAACAAUUAACUCUGGAAAAUUCCAAAAAAGAAGAAGAAAAGAGAAGGAAGUAUAUAGAAAGCUUCAUUUUUCACUUCAAAUACUUCCAUUUUUUCUCUUUUUUUUGUUAGUGUUUUGAACCUCAUUGGUGGGGUUACUGUGGAGUAAUCUCUGUUUAAAUUGUGGGGUUUGUUUAAAAGUUUCAGUUGGAGUUUGCAGCAUUAACGAAAUUCGAGAAACUGUAGAAAUUGAGCUUGGGGUUGUCUUGUUGAGUCUCAUUCUGGAAUUGGGUUAGCUGUGUUGUAUCAAAGUUGGGUUUGGUUUGUUUUUUCUGUGAAAUGGAUAAUCUGAUAGAGUGUAUUGAAGCAGGAGAAGCUAGAUCCGAGAAUUGCGGAGCUAGAAUGGGAGAAAUUAAAGAUGGGUUUCAUCAAUUUGGUGAGGAAAUUUUGUCUGUUACGUCGGAAGGUGGAAGUUCUUUCACUGCUUUACUUGGGCUUCCGCCGAAUCAAGCGGUGGAGCUUUUGGUUCAGUCACCGGAAACUGACAAAAUAGCAUCAGAUAAGCUUGCUAUCAGUGAACCUCACUAUCGUUAUCCUCCUCCUCCUCCGAUUUUUCCUUCAGAUAUCGCUUUGAUCGAUAGAGCUUCUAAGUUCUCCGUCUUCGCCGCCGCCGGUAACUCCCCGGAGUCCAAUUCAACCCUUUCGAAUUCCGGGUCGAAAUCACUGUUCGUCAAGCAAGAACCCCUAGAUUCCGAAUGUAACCACAACUCAUCUCCGGCGACUUCCAAUCCACUAGUCCAUCAGAAAUCAACAAAGAGAAAGGAACGCGAGAAAAAGGUAAUUUCAACACCCCAUGACGAAGCCAGAAUUUUCAUUUUCUCUGGUAGUAAAGUAAACACAUGAACUAGCCGAAGGCCUAAAGAAUAGUGUUAACUAUGUAUAAAUAGUAUAAUUUUCCGAUGAAUGAUACUAAUUUCAGUACAAUUUAUGUGAAAUUCAGGUAAAAGAAACUUCUAAAAAGGGGAAAAAAUCAGCUAACGAUACCUCAGAAGACGGCGGCGAGAAGCUACCAUAUGUUCACGUCCGAGCGCGUCGAGGCCAAGCCACUGAUAGCCAUAGUUUAGCAGAAAGAGUAAGAUUAAGAGCUUCUAAUGUUUUGCUAAACAUGGUAAUUAGUAAUUACAUAU
rnacentral:misc_RNA from 1 species